UGGCUCAGGAUGAACGCUAGCGACAGGCCUAACACAUGCAAGUCGAGGGGCAUCGGGGCGAGGAGCAAUCCUUGCCGCCGGCGACCGGCGCACGGGUGAGUAACGCGUAUGCGACCUGCCCGUUGCAGGGGGAUAAUCGGGAGAAAUCCCGUCUAAUACCGCGUAAUGCCGCGGGGCUGCAUGGCCCUGCGGCCAAAGGAAGCGAUUCCGGCAACGGAUGGGCAUGCGUGACAUUAGCUAGUUGGCGGGGCAACGGCCCACCAAGGCGACGAUGUCUAGGGGUUCUGAGAGGAAGGUCCCCCACACUGGUACUGAAACACGGACCAGACUCCUACGGGAGGCAGCAGUGAGGAAUAUUGGUCAAUGGGCGCGAGCCUGAACCAGCCAAGUCGCGUGAGGGAUGACGGCCCUACGGGUUGUAAACCUCUUUUGUCGGGGAGCAAAUUCCGCCACGUGUGGCGGAGUCGAGAGUACCCGAAGAAAAAGCAUCGGCUAACUCCGUGCCAGCAGCCGCGGUAAUACGGAGGAUGCGAGCGUUAUCCGGAUUUAUUGGGUUUAAAGGGUGCGUAGGCGGACUGUCAAGUCAGCGGUAAAAUACGGGGGCUCAACCUCCGCCCGCCGUUGAAACUGACGGUCUUGAGUGGGCGAGAAGUAUGCGGAAUGCGUGGUGUAGCGGUGAAAUGCAUAGAUAUCACGCAGAACUCCGAUUGCGAAGGCAGCAUACCGGCGCCCAACUGACGCUGAAGCACGAAAGCGUGGGUAUCGAACAGGAUUAGAUACCCUGGUAGUCCACGCAGUAAACGAUGAAUACUAGCUGUCCGGGGCGAAUGAGCCCUGGGUGGCACAGCGAAAGCGUUAAGUAUUCCACCUGGGGAGUACGCCGGCAACGGUGAAACUCAAAGGAAUUGACGGGGGCCCGCACAAGCGGAGGAACAUGUGGUUUAAUUCGAUGAUACGCGAGGAACCUUACCCGGGCUCAAACGACACAGGAACGUACCUGAAAGGGUUCGGCUCUACGGAGCCUGUGUCGAGGUGCUGCAUGGUUGUCGUCAGCUCGUGCCGUGAGGUGUCGGCUUAAGUGCCAUAACGAGCGCAACCCCCAUCGACAGUUGCUAACAGGUCAGGCUGAGGACUCUGUCGAGACUGCCGGCGCAAGCUGCGAGGAAGGCGGGGAUGACGUCAAAUCAGCACGGCCCUUACGUCCGGGGCGACACACGUGUUACAAUGGCAGGUACAGCGGGAAGCCACCUGGCGACAGGGAGCGGAACCCGAAAGCCUGUCUCAGUUCGGAUUGGAGUCUGCAACCCGACUCCAUGAAGCUGGAUUCGCUAGUAAUCGCGCAUCAGCCACGGCGCGGUGAAUACGUUCCCGGGCCUUGUACACACCGCCCGUCAAGCCAUGGAAGCCGGGGGUGCCUGAAGUGCGCUGCCGCGAGGAGCGCCCUAGGGUAAAACCUGGUGACUGGGGCUAAGUCGUAACAAGGU
rnacentral:rRNA from 1 species